AGCAGCCGCGGUAAUUCCAGCUCCAAUAGCGUAUAUUAAAGUUGUUGCAGUUAAAAAGCUCGUAGUUGAAUUUCGGGAUCAGUACGCCGGUCGUGCCUUCGGUAUGCACUGGUGUCACUGGUUUCUCCCUUCUGAAGAACCAUCAUGCCAUUCAGUUGGUGUGGCGGGGAAUCAGGACUGUUACUUUGAAAAAAUUAGAGUGUUUAAAGCAGGCUCGCGCUUGAAUACAUUAGCAUGGAAUAAUGAAAUAGGACGUUUGACCCUAUUUUGUUGGUUUCUAGGAUCGACGUAAUGAUUAAUAGGGAUAGUUGGGGGCAUUAGUAUUCAAUUGUCAGAGGUGAAAUUCUUGGAUUUAUUGAAGACUAACUACUGCGAAAGCAUUUGCCAAGGAUGUUUUCAUUAAUCAAGAACGAAAGUUAGGGGAUCGAAGACGAUCAGAUACCGUCGUAGUCUUAACCAUAAACUAUGCCGACUAGGGAUCGGAUGAUGUUAAUUUUUUUCAAUGACUCAUUCGGCGCCU
rnacentral:misc_RNA from 1 species